rnacentral:rRNA from 1 species
UGAGGAAUAUUGGUCAAUGGGCGGGAGCCUGAACCAGCCAAGUCGCGUGAAGGAAGAAGGAUCUAUGGUUCGUAAACUUCUUUUGCAGGGGAAUAAAGUGCGGGACGUGUCCUGUUUUGUAUGUACCCUGAGAAUAAGGAUCGGCUAACUCCGUGCCAGCAGCCGCGGUAAUACGGAGGAUCCGAGCGUUAUCCGGAUUUAUUGGGUUUAAAGGGUGCGUAGGUGGUUUGAUAAGUCAGCGGUGAAAGUUUGCAGCUUAACUGUAAAAAUGCCGUUGAAACUGUCGGACUUGAGUGUAAAUGAGGUAGGCGGGAUGCGUGGUGUAGCGGUGAAAUGCAUAGAUAUCACGCAGAACUCCGAUUGCGAAGGCAGCUUACUAAGCUACAACUGACACUGAAGCACGAAAGCGUGGGGAUCAAACA